rnacentral:lncRNA from 1 species
UUUAUCAAAUGUUGAGAUAAAUGAUGUUUGAGAAUUAUUUGACUUGCCAAUUUUUUGAUGUUGAGCUUGUAUGUUACCCUCUACUGAUGAGAUGAGACGAAUUCGGAUCCUGCUACUAGCGGGGUUGUGUACACAGAGGUGACUGUGAGCCAUCUUCGGGUCGGCCGGUCACGGUGCUUGAGAAGGAGGCCUACUUCUCAGUACCUUGUUUAUGAUGAUGAGUUGUAGAUGCGGUACAUACAUGUCGAUUACUUGUCUGCAGACACUUAUUUAUGAUGCUUAUUAUUAAAACUGCAUGCACAGAUUCAUUUAUGCUAACUUAUUUUUGUGUAUUGCUGAGAUGUGGCAAGCUUCAAACCUAUAGCUCUAAGAGCACCUUUCUUGUUUUUCGGCGUUUG